rnacentral:tRNA from 1 species
GGCCGGUUAGCUCAGUUGGUUAGAGCGUGGUGCUAAUAACGCCAAGGUCGUGGGUUCGAUCCCUAUACUGGCCA